GACGAACGCUGGCGGCGUGCUUAACACAUGCAAGUCGAACGAUGAUGACGGGGCUUGCCUCGUCGGAUUAGUGGCGAACGGGUGAGUAACACGUGAGUAACCUGCCCCAGACUCUGGGAUAACUCCGGGAAACCGGAGCUAAUACCGGAUACGACAUUUGGCCGCAUGGUCGGGUGUGGAAAGUUUUUCGGUUUGGGAUGGGCUCGCGGCCUAUCAGCUUGUUGGUGAGGUAGUGGCUCACCAAGGCGACGACGGGUAGCCGGCCUGAGAGGGCGACCGGCCACACUGGGACUGAGACACGGCCCAGACUCCUACGGGAGGCAGCAGUGGGGAAUAUUGCACAAUGGGCGAAAGCCUGAUGCAGCGACGCCGCGUGAGGGAUGACGGCCUUCGGGUUGUGAACCUCUUUCAGCAGGGAAGAAGCGCAAGUGACGGUACCUGCAGAAGAAGCACCGGCUAACUACGUGCCAGCAGCCGCGGUAAUACGUAGGGUGCGAGCGUUGUCCGGAAUUAUUGGGCGUAAAGAGCUUGUAGGCGGUUUGUCGCGUCUGCUGUGAAAAUCCGGGGCUCAACUCCGGACUUGCAGUGGGUACGGGCAGACUAGAGUGUGGUAGGGGAGACUGGAAUUCCUGGUGUAGCGGUGGAAUGCGCAGAUAUCAGGAGGAACACCGAUGGCGAAGGCAGGUCUCUGGGCCACUACUGACGCUGAGAAGCGAAAGCAUGGGGAGCGAACAGGAUUAGAUACCCUGGUAGUCCAUGCCGUAAACGUUGGGCGCUAGGUGUGGGACCCAUUCCACGGGUUCCGUGCCGCAGCUAACGCAUUAAGCGCCCCGCCUGGGGAGUACGGCCGCAAGGCUAA
rnacentral:rRNA from 1 species